rnacentral:rRNA from 1 species
GGUAUGGGAUGGAUCCGCGUCUGAUUAGCCAGUUGGCGGGGUAGAGGCCCACCAAAGCGACGAUCAGUAGCCGGCCUGAGAGGGUGACCGGCCACAUUGGGACUGAGACACGGCCCAAACUCCUACGGGAGGCAGCAGUGGGGAAUAUUGCACAAUGGGGGAAACCCUGAUGCAGCGACGCCGCGUGACUGAAGAAGUAUUUCGGUAUGUAAAGGUCUAUCAGCAAGGAAGAAGAAAGACGGUACUUGACUAAGAAGCCCCGGCUAACUAC